CAAUGUAAGAAGGGUGUUGAGUUUUAUACGUAACUACCAAGUUUUAAUUGGUCCAUUCCAUAUGGAGCUUUUAAAUCCCAAUCAAUCACCAAAAACGUCACAAUCAGAACAAGUGUUUCUUUUCAACAAGAACCAAGUGGUCUAAUUGAUUGAGAGCUAGCUAGCUCAAUCAGAAACUAACUAGCUUCAGCAGGUCCAGGUAGGCCACCAUAUAUACAAAGUGGGGCUUGGAUCGACAAGAGAAAUAUCAAUCAAUCAAAACUUCCGAAGUUUCGGCCACUGAGAAUGAAUGACUAUGGAUCAUGGAAGGAAGGGGAAACCUCGGCUGUCGGCUCUGCUUCAGUUGAAUCUUAUUUCUUCUUGUACUGAGUGAAUGUGAAUCUUUAAAGUUGCAGACCACAUUCAUGCUAAUCAUAUUCGUUAAAGAAUAUAGCACGCACUUUUUUCUU